rnacentral:rRNA from 1 species
UACGAAGGGUGCAAGCGUUACUCGGAAUUACUGGGCGUAAAGCGUGCGUAGGUGGUUUUUUAAGUCCGUUGUGAGAGCCCUGGGCUCAACCUGGGAAUGGCAGUGGAUACUGGAAAGCUAGAGUGCGGUAGAGGGUAGUGGAAUUCCCGGUGUAGCAGUGAAAUGCGUAGAGAUCGGGAGGAACACCAGUGGCGAAGGCGGCUACCUGGACCAGCACUGACACUGAGGCACGAAAGCGUGGGUAGCAAACAGG